UACGAAGGGGGCUAGCGUUGCUCGGAAUCACUGGGCGUAAAGGGUGCGUAGGCGGGUCUUUUAAGUCAGGGGGUGAAAUCCUGGAGCUCAACUCCAGAACUGCCUUUGAUACUGAAGAUCUUGAGUUCGGGAGAGGUGAGUGGAACUGCGAGUGUAGAGGUGAAAUUCGUAGAUAUUCGCAAGAACACCAGUGGCGAAGGCGGCUCACUGGCCCGAUACUGACGCUGAGGCGCGAAAGCGUGGGGAGCAAACAGG
rnacentral:rRNA from 1 species